rnacentral:lncRNA from 1 species
UCCUCGAAGAGCCUCUACUACUGCAACUACUCCUCCUCCAUCGUCAUCCAGUGAUCAUAGGAUGAAUGCAGUGCAGAUUGGUACAGCUGCUGCCGGUGCCAUGUCCCAGGCACGAAACUCUCCGUUCGGAUGAUCUAUCGUAAGGACGGAUUUACCAUAGAGAUCGAUAUGCAUGAUUAAUGAUGCUUCAUACGAGUCUUUAAUUUAGGGGUAAGAUGGAUAUUUAGGGUUUCGGGUCUUAAUUAAGGAAUCACGCAAAUUACCUGUGAAUUCAUUUUGGUGACCAUAUAUAUAUAUUUAUGCAUUAAUUCCAGCAUGAUUUGACGUAUCCUGAAUAUAUGUAU